AGGGAAAAUCGUGGGAAUAAACACUGGGAACACAAAAAAUAGAAGGCAAAACAUAUGAAUAUUCAGUGGGCAUGGUACUUAGUGGUGGUAGCCCGCCUUAGUUCCUGAUGUGGUUGCGGUGUGGUCCGAGAUGAUUCCUCGGCUACAUUGAAGACCUGCUAGGGACCUUGCCGCGCUGGCUCGGUGCCGGGGAAAGGUCAAUAAGACUAUGUCGGUUUUCAUACGGCAGACAGGCAAUGUUGUGGUGAGGCAUCGGGAUCUGGAAGGAAAGCUGUCUGGGAAUUAUUGGGCGGACGGGG